CACCAACAUUGCUGAGGGAAAGAAGUUGAACGAAGAUAACAAAACAGAGGAGUUUAUUGCGUGAUCUCACGUAAAUACGACUGGCUCGCUACGCUGCCAACAUGCGCCCGGUGUGAGUUGAUGCCGGGCAGAGGACGGAGCUAAACCACGGUGCAGCCGUUCCAUGGCGCUUACGUCCCCUGUCAAUUUCUUCACAACAUCAUCGACCAUCUCAGAGAAGAUUCAAAUGCCUUGAUCAAGACCUUUGAG